CAGACCGGGAAGUCUCGCUCCAGGGCUUUGCGUAGGUGUUAACCUCUGCCCCUGCGCCUCCGACCACCAGGGCCCCCCACAGACCAGGUGUUCUCGGAUCUUGGGGCCAGAUGGCCCACCCAAGCCACCAGCUCUUCUCCUUGGCAGGAAAUUCCCUAGGCACUACCUGGUAUUUGCCAUCCUGCUGGUCAGAGAGGACCAAGUCCAGUUUGGGGACAGCACAGAGGGGCCAUCAGGAAGCUGGUUGCCUUGGGACCAUCUGGAGCUCCUCAGAUCACUUGGAGGACUUAGGAAUACCUGGAGCCCCCAGGGGACACCUGGAGCCUCACAAGGACCAUCUGGAGCCCCUGGCGACCAUCCGGGGCCCCCUGAGACAAACCGGAGACCUUUAAGGAUCCCUGGGGCCCUCAGAAACACCUGGAACCCCUCAGGACCACCUGGGGCCCUCAAGACCACCUGGAACACCUUGUGACCACCUGGAGCCCUCUGGGACCACGAAGAGCCCCUUGGAGACCCCGCGAGGAGGGGGAGGUGACUGAAAGGAAUGGGCGGUGGGGGGUCCAUAGUGCAGCCACCCUCUGUUGCCAGCUGGGCCUCCCAGAAGGAUCAUUCAGAGAGAGCUCGUCUGUAGAAACAUUGCAGUGGCUCUUGGGGAGGUGAGCCCACCCUCUUUCCUAGAUGCCAAGCACCUGGACUAGCUGCUCACAGGGGCUUGGGUUCUAGGGCCCUGUCAGACCCCAGGAGGUGGGGAGGCCCUUUGAGCAUCUGGGGUAUGAGGGCUAGAGCCCCCCAAGGCCUGGGCUCUGAGGUUUAGGGUAAGCAGGGACUUCAGGGGCUGAUCCUGCCCCUUCCAUGUGCACAGUGGUCCGCUGUCCCCUUGGAGGGUGGUGACGGAUGGGCACAGGUGUACGGCGGACCCACCUGGGUCCAAAUGCCCCUCUGCUGAUUUCCUGGGGCAUGGCAGCCCCUUUGGGUCUUGUGUGCUGGUUUCUGCAACGGGACCAGACAUCUGAGGAGGAAUUGGCUGUAUGUCCUGGAGACCUGGGGACCUCAGAGGAGGCAGGAGAGCACUGGGCCUUUAUGAUCUCAGACAGCCUCUGUCUCUCUCUGAGCCUCGAUUUCCCCAUCUGUUAAAAGAAGAUUCCAGACCCAAAGUGCUCUGGGGCUGCAUGGCAAGAACAAAGUCUCUGAGCUUUCACCCAAGCUGUUGGCAAAUAUUAACUGAGCACAUACUCUGUGCCAGGCACUAUUGUAGGUACUUCAUUCUGCUCUCAGAACUUCUGUUCUAGAUGAGGAGACAAAGGUUAAACAAGAGAGCAAAUACCCCAACAAAAAGUAGAAAGACUGGGGCAAGGGCUCGUUGUUGAGGUUCACGGAGCAGACUCUUGCAAAGUCCUGCAGGAAGAAACCCCAGACAGACAGAACAGCAUGUGCAAAGUCCCUGAGAUGGGAAGGAGACUGGUGUGUUCUGAAGGUCCAGUGGCUGGAGCCUGGUGACCUGGGGUGGGAAAGGAGCAGUGCGGGGGCGCCGGACAGGAGAAAAUGAGGCUGGAAGUGUGACAGGGCCAGAGGCUACAGGGCCUGAGUCCAACCCCUGAGUCCCAGAAAUCCAAGUGGCCGGCACACAGGAGGUAUGCCAGCAGUGCCUGCUGCAUGAAGAAAUGGACAAAGAGUGAAUGAGUGACUCCUGGCUGGGUCCCUAACUCACUGUGUGACCUUGGGCAAGUGUAUUUCCCUCCCUGGGGCUUAGUUUCACUGCUACUAAGACACCCUGAGUUGUCAUUAUUUUCAGCGAAUGGCUGGGCUGGGUGCCUGGCUGCAGCAGACCCUUGUGUAUGUUGGCUCCUUCCUCUUCCCAGGACUGUGAGGGACACGGCCAGCAUCCCCCCUGGGCCUAGUGGGGAAUGUGUGUUCCCCAGGCUGAAGAGGAGCAGCCCCUGGGGGCACAGAAGACCCUCAGCUCAGGCCUUUGACUCCUGUGACAGUUGGGUACUUCAGACCCUUUUCCUGCCCCGUCUGGCAUUCUUUAGAACCCCAGAGGCCCCAGGGCCCACCUCCUGCUCCGCCCACUGGCCUCCCUUCUCCCUCUGUUCAAGGGAUGGCCUCCUGUCCUGCAGGGUUGGGGGCUGGACU